rnacentral:ncRNA from 1 species
AACCAUCUGCCACCGGGUAGAGAGAUGCUAUACGCAUCCGCCGCACAUCGUUAGGUCUUAGAAGAUGUGCCGACGGGUGCGUUGUUUUU